CGGAUGAUUCACGUAAUACCUCGUAAACGCAUCCGCGCCAUCUCAUGACAAAUCUCCCGAAACUUCUGACAUGCCCGUCACUGAACUGUCAACACCACCGUUAACUCAUAUCCAUUUCUUGUUGCGUGGACUUCAUCCAUUGCUCUUGGUCUCAGUUAAUAUAAAUUUCGAAAGAAAACCUAGAGACCUGUUAAAUUUUGCUGUGAAUCCCACGGAGAACCGUGAAAACGUUUGGUUUUGAGGCCUUCGUUGAGUGUCCGGUUCUAGCUUUUGUUGAUAUUGUUUGUAGGAACUAUUGCUUUUGCUGCAUGAAUUUCGCGUUUUGAUUUCAUUAUUUUCGCAAUGCAAUUAGUGUCAAGUGAUGGCCAUAACAAAGAUAUUUCAGAAAGUGAACCUAUCUUGUCUCAGUCUGAGAGUUUGCAAAGAUCGGAAGAAUCUUCUUCUGCAUCUUCUUCGUCGUCUUCAUCUUUGACUUCUUCUGAAAUUACAGCUGCUAGAGGGGAUUGUGUUGUUGUUGCUGAUGAUUUACAAAGUGAUGUUGAUGAAACUAGCCAUUUGAUGAAUGCCGAUCAACCGCAAUGCCGUAUAUGUUUCGAUAUCGGAGGAGAAGACUUGAUUGCUCCAUGCAAUUGUAGGGGCACUCAAAAGUAUGUCCAUAGAACAUGUCUUGAUCAUUGGAGGUCAACCAAGGAAGGUUUUGCGUUUUCUCACUGUACAGAGUGCAGGGUAGCGUUCCUAUUACGUGCUAAUGUUCCAGCUGAUCGCUGGUGGCUGAGAUUGAAAUUUCAGUUCCUUGUUGCUAGGGACCAUGCAUUCAUUUUUAUAGUCGUUCAGCUGAUUGUGGCAUUGUUGGCAAUGCUGGUGUACAAAUUUUAUGGGGAGGAACUAAGAGAAAUGUUUGGUUAUGAAGAGCAUCCUUAUGGGUUUUAUAUUAUGGCUGGUUUAGCUAUUGUUUUGGUGGGUUUGCUCUAUGGUUUCUUCAUAGCCAUAAUAUGUGGACAGAGGAUCAGUGAACGACACUAUCACGUUCUGGCGAAACAAGAACUAACAAAGGAAUAUGUGGUGGAGGACCGAGAAAAUAAUAAAAAUGUCCCUGAACUUGAUCAGAGCCAUAUCACAGAGCUAAGAAUGUUAGGCCUAUACUAAUUUGGAAUUAUGCAGAUUCCAUGUUUCUUUAUGAUUAGUGGCUGCAAUUCCCAUCGGUUAGAAGAAUGUUGCUUUUGGGCAUAAGGGAAAACAAGAAGUGACUAUUGGAUAUGAGAGAUUCUCAGCAGAAUGCCACUUUGAGGCGCAAGUCAUGCAUGGGGUUAUCAAGAUGCGAUAACGACGAUUUGUGUGACACUAAUAGAAAAAACUUUUCAAAACUACAUAUUUUGAAAAGUUUUUAGACUUGGAGAAGUCCAAAUUUAGCAAAGUAUUAGCACACUUCAUUUUAUUGAGUGAGAUAGUUAGGGUGAACUCCGAUGCAAAGUUCUAGUUUAGAUUGAAUGAGUUGACUCCAGUUCAACCUAUUCUAAAAGAACAUGAUGAUGAAGAAGUUGGAAUUGGUGUGAGACUUUUACAAAUUAGUCUCAUAAGGUAAGGUUGUUGACAUCGACUACAAAACCAUUGUUGCGUGAUCUCGCCAAGAGAAGUAAUUCUGUUAUUACUUGAUAGACAUUUAGCUCGUCAGCGAUCAAUCAUAAGUGGAAGAAUAACUUGAUUAUCUUGUGAAUGAAUGACACUUUCAACAUGAAUGGAUUGAUGAGUCAUGUUGUUAUAAUAAGGAUGUACCUAGUGAUAGCAAUCUGACAAGGACAAAACUCUUACCACUAUAACAUGUGUGUAAGGAAAUUGUGAAAAUUAAAAUUUUUGACAUGUAUAUGUAAGCUUUGCUAGUUCCACA